AACGAACGCUGGCGGCAGGCUUAACACAUGCAAGUCGAGCGCCCCGCAAGGGGAGCGGCAGACGGGUGAGUAACACGUGGGGAUCUGCCCAAUGGUACGGAAUAGCUCCGGGAAACUGGGAUUAAUACCGUAUGUGCCCGCAAGGGGAAAGAUUUAUCGCCAUUGGAUGAACCCGCGUCGGAUUAGCUAGUUGGUGUGGUAAAGGCGCACCAAGGCGACGAUCCGUAGCUGGUCUGAGAGGAUGAUCAGCCACACUGGGACUGAGACACGGCCCAGACUCCUACGGGAGGCAGCAGUGGGGAAUAUUGGACAAUGGGCGCAAGCCUGAUCCAGCCAUGCCGCGUGAGUGAUGAAGGCCUUAGGGUUGUAAAGCUCUUUCGCCGACGAAGAUAAUGACGGUAGUCGGAGAAGAAGCCCCGGCUAACUUCGUGCCAGCAGCCGCCGUAA
rnacentral:rRNA from 1 species